GACGAACGCUGGCGGCGUGCCUAAUACAUGCAAGUCGAACGCUUCUUUCCUCCCGAGUGCUUGCACUCAAUUGGAAAGAGGAGUGGCGGACGGGUGAGUAACACGUGGGUAACCUACCCAUCAGAGGGGGAUAACACUUGGAAACAGGUGCUAAUACCGCAUAACAGUUUAUGCCGCAUGGCAUAAGAGUGAAAGGCGCUUUCGGGUGUCGUUGAUGGAUGGACCCGCGGUGCAUUAGCUAGUUGGUGAGGUAACGGCUCACCAAGGCCACGAUGCAUAGCCGACCUGAGAGGGGGAUCGGCCACACUGGGACUGAGACACGGCCCAGACUCCUACGGGAGGCAGCAGUAGGGAAUCUUCGGCAAUGGACGAAAGUCUGACCGAGCAACGCCGCGUGAGUGAAGAAGGUUUUCGGAUCGUAAAACUCUGUUGUUAGAGAAGAACAAGGACGUUAGUAACUGAACGUCCCCUGACGGUAUCUAACCAGAAAGCCACGGCUAACUACGUG
rnacentral:rRNA from 1 species